CUCUUCACCAUGCUAGGACUCAGUCAGAACCUUGUCAUCUGUAAAGCUGUAAGAGGACCCUUACCAAGAAAAUAACAAUGCUGGCACAGUGCUUUUGGACUUACAGCCUCCAGGACUGGGAGAAAUAAAUGUUUGUUUUAGGGAAGAAAGAUAGAGGGCUGUCACCAGAAGCAAGGAACAGAGGAAGUAAAUUUCCAAAGGAUCUGGUAGAAGAAUUGGUCUAACUGUGUUCCUCAUGAGAAAAGUAUUCUGUUGGAGGACAUGUAAUAAAACAGCAGUCACAAGAUUUGAUUUAUUCACAGCUCUGAAAACUCUGGAAGACCAUGGGGAAGUUCCCUAACCUCCUUUGGGUAUUUCAUCUGAGCUGUUGGAUUUGCAUUACCUAAUCUCUCUGGUUCCUUGAAGCUGCCACAUUCAGUGAUUCUGUCUUCAAUGAUAGAUACAACAAGGAGCAACCUAAGCUGAAAGUGGCCUGAGAUGUGGAUCUGAAAAGAGAAAUUUUGGUUCCCAGCCAUAGGAGUGUGUUCACAGAAAAAGAAGCCAGCUAAAGAAUGUCUUGGGUGUUCUGGACAGGCUUGGAAUCCACAGAAGUAUUUAUUUCAAGAGGAUAUCUAUACUGAUUUUUCAUUGAAGGUCAAAGGGAGUUCCAGAUAAACUGCCUGAGUUCUGGCAGUCAAAAAAGAAGGAAAUGUAGUCCUUUGAAACUCUGUCCCUCAUGAGAACAUGGACUACUUUAUCCUUGAGUGAGAGAUGAGCCAUGGGACCGGUAACAACACUUCUAGGCUUCAUUCUUCAAGGGGAGGCAACAUAAAGUAAAUACUAAGACAGAUUACCACAAGGUUCCUCUGGAAAUCCUGCUUGUCUUCCUUGAAGGAGUGCUCCAUGAAGACUGCAGGGGCUUCCCUCUCACAGGCAGCAUGUGCCUCCAGCAGCUCCUGCAGCAUGUCUGUGGGGAAGCUCACUCGCUGGGCUAUCUGCUCGCUGUAGUGGUUGUCUGCCUUCUGAAUGGCAGCUGAGUUCUCCAGCUAUGCCAGAGUUGUCACCGCGUUCUCCAAGCGAGGUACUGCUCCACUAUUGAUAGUAUCCAGGAGGAAGGAACAUUAAUUGUGAUAAAGAUACCAAGCAAGGGCUCAACAUAGAGGCAAAGGGGAAUCCAUGAAUCAGACAAAAUGGAAGUCACUGAUAACCAUAACAAGAGUAUCUUGAAAGAACGGUGAGGUUCAAAGCCAGAGAGAAAUGGACUGAAGACAGACAUGGGAAGAGAAAAAGGUGGGAAAAAAAUCAAGAUUAUAUUUUUUGUCAGACAAAUUUUUCAAAAGUGGGGAGAGGUGUUAGCCACAGUAGUAUAUGACAUACAGGAAAUAUUUUUAAGAUUAUAGACAUUUGAAC